AGCAAACUGUUCUCUUUUCCUGAAUAACCUCAUUUUUCUGCUGAUAAGUGCAAAAAACAAAUGCAGCUACACAAAAUAAAGAAAAUAUAAAUAUUCAUAUAAAUUAAAAGAAAGGAAAAAAAACAGGAACAAAAACUAUUAUCAACUAAAAUAAAAGCAAAAACGUCCAAUUUUACUAACAAAACUGCAGCUAGACAAAGGUCAAAUGUACUUUAACUAAAAUAUGGAAUAGAAUUAUAUAUAAUAUUAAAAAAUUCACAAGCAACCUGUCUUUUCUUGAAUAAUCAAAUUUUUUGCUGGUAAGUGGAACUAAAUAAACGCAACAGCACAAAAUAACAAAAAAGAAAAAAUGUAAAUAUGCAUAUGCAUCUAAAUUAAAAGUAAACUAAUAAACAAAAGCCAAACAAUCAAAAAAAUACCAGUAUGGAACAUAACAAUUAUAGAUCUGAGUUACUUAUACUUUGCGUGAGUAUUUUGUUCUCAUUCUUUCAAAGUCUACUUCACUACUUUUUAAGAGGCAAAUAUUGAGACGUUAAGAAAUAUACAAAAACCAUGAUUGUUCAAAGUUUUUUACUGUACAGUUUUCUACAAUUAAUUGCUAAUUAAUGAAUUAGCUGAUAGAAAGAAACGUCUCAAAUCCAUUUUGAUCAUUAGUCAUUUUUCUCUCAAAGAUCUCACAGAUUUAGUGCUUUUCUUUUAUGCAUUUGAAAAAUUUGAAUGUGUUGUAGUAAUUUGGAGAACACAAUGAAGACUGUGAAGACGUUAGUAAUUGUACCUGCAUUUAGAACUAUUCAGAUUUCUUAUAAACUAAACAAAUCAAUCAAUUACUGGAGAAAAUCAGCAGAUUAAUCCAACUGCAGUUCAGCUCAAAACAGUAAAAACCUGCUUUUAGAUUCAUAUAUGAAUCUAUAUUAGUGUCAGCGAACAUAUUUUUCAUUGUGUAUUUUCUGUAUUGCAUAUUUCACUCAAGUCACAUUUUCACUUCAGGACUUGGAUGAAGUAUGAGAUCUGAUAUGGUGCUGAAGAAGAGGCAGCUUUGUGUACAAAACAAACCAGGAAGAUGCAUUUAACAGCAACCUGAUAACUGUCCAGACCAAUAUCUGCUUCAGAUUCCCCUGAGGAUAAAGACAUCUCAAAAGAAACUAGAACUCAGUGCUUCCAGUUCAGCUCAACAAGAAGAAGACUGUGUUUCAGUCCUGGAUUGGUGGGAAAAGAUUCAUAGAUACUACUGCAUAACUGUGGGCAAUGUAUGAUUUUGACAGAAAUCAACAGUGUGUUUAUGAGAACAUGGUGAGUAUUAGGAUAAACAACGUUUCUUUGUAUGUGAAAUUGUUUUACACCAUCCCACUGUUGUGGCAUUUUGUUAUUUUUCUGUCUGGACAAACUUUGGUUUAGAGCAGCCACUGGAAAAUGAGCUGCAGUACCACCUUUCACCACAACGAAGAGUCAAUGAGCACAUGGUGCUGUUGGACAACAAUAGACAGAUGUGAGGAAAAAAAAGUAUCUGUCAAUAAGACAGAAAUGAACAGUUUGGGUAGCUGAAUGAUAAUCACAGCAAAUUACAAAAGAGUAGAAGUGAACAUACCCCCUCGGAGUACAUUAAAUGUCAUGGUAUUAAAAAACCACCUUCAUUUGCAUCAUUUCAUUAAACAGGAAACUGACAAAAAACACAAAAAUGUACCAAAAGAGAUAAACGUCAAAGUUCAGAUCAGGUUUAUUCUGGGUGUCCUGUCAAAAUUAUUAUUAACCCAUUCACAAAGUUAAAUAAGCUUUUUAGAUGCUCAAUUAACAACAACAAAAAAAAACUGUUCUCACCCUAGACAAGAGUAAUAACCAGUGCAUCUUCUGUGUGGAACCGGAGAAAACAUGCCUGACCAUCAUCAUGUGGUUCCACCUCCUCAUGUGGGUCAUGUCAGCUGACCCGGCAGCCUGAGUGUCUUAUGCUGUAAUGUGAAAUGCAUGCUGGGACACGAUGACUCAGACACUGGAUGAACAGACGGGGCUGUGGCUCUGGUUCACACUUGGUUUUACAAUGGGUCUUGAGUGAUUUAUACACAGUGGAUUUUACAGACAGAUUAACAGGCACAGGGUUGGGCUGAUCAGGCAGGAUGUUCAAGAGGUUCCAAAUAUUAGAUCAAAUAUGUCUUUAAAAAAACAUUGGAAUGAUUUAGUCAAAUAUUAGUUGGUUAUUUUUGCAAUUUCUGUGACAAGAAGUAGCAACAGUGGCUAAAAAUUCCGUAUUUCCAUGCAAUUUAGUACGCUACGGAAGAGGAUUAAGGCCACUGG